ACGUAGGGGAGGCUCAGGACCGGUUCAGAAAAUCGUCACUGGCGGUGUUGGCCACGAGCGGGAAUGGAACUCGGCUGGUCGGGUGCGGAGCGCAGCGCUCGGCACGUCACUGCCGCUCCCCUACUGUCAACAAACUUGAACUCUGACCCCGAGCUCUGACGUCACCGCCCAGCGUGACCUCAUCGACGUCAAACGCCAGAGGGCGGUGGGCCUCGCUAGUGACGUCAUGUCAGCCACCCCCGACCACCGCUCUCUUGAGCGUGACGUCACCUCCUUUGGGCCGCUGACGAUUUCUGUUCCGGUGCCAAUCCAUAUUUGGGCCCGGUGAUUGGCGUCACAUUAACAUAAUGUGUUCGUGAAAGCCGUCGCGAGUUUUUUGUGACAGGAUCGGCACCCGCGCCCCAUCCCUCCACGUAUGGGCCGUGCUCAUUAACAUAAUUUAUUUAAGUUACAGAGCCGCUCAUUGUGAGAGGAGAGUGUCUUUUACCCCAGAAGUUGCGUCAUGUCACCGCCUGCUGCCGCAUGACGUUAUGAGGUAUCAGGAAGUUUCCGCUCCGCGCGUGAACUGAAAUCCGAGGCCCAGCCCGCUUGAGCUGCUAUAACGCUCUUGUUUUCAGAAGCGACCUGCACACAACACAAGCUGUCACUUCCUCUGCAGAAUUUGUCUGAUGGAGCAAAGGCACUCGGUGCGGCUCAGUGCAAAAAGGCAACAAUGGGACCGGCGUGCAUACAGCACGGAUCGUCCUGGACAUUUUACACGGCACCAGAGAACUCGCACAGGAGAGAAACCCAAGUGCAGUGUGUGUGGGAAGGCAUUUUCACAUUCAUCUGCUUUUAAAAAACACCA